UCUCCGUAGGUGAACCUGCGGAGGGAUCAUUCACAUGAUUUACUUUAUAAACAAACUGUGAACUUUUUAUAUACAAUUCGUGUAUUUUUUAUGUUUUUUUUUAUUAAACAUUAUUUACACUGUCAUUCGAUGAACAUUAGAUGGCUGGAUAUUUUAUCUCAGUCGAUUUGUUUGUAUUGAUUAAACAUCUUACAACAAUCACCAAAAAAACAUAGAAACAACUCUAUGCCCUGGAUAUCUUGGUUCUC
rnacentral:misc_RNA from 1 species